GGCUCGAUUUUGGGUUCGACAGAAAUAUGGAGGUUUGAAUGGCAAGCCGGAGUGACACGUUAAGUCUAAUCUUAAAUAUAACUGGAAACAGAGAUAAUUUUGUACCUGCAUUUGCCUAAGGUUGGCAAUGGUACACUUCUUUAAUUUUCUCUCUCAUGGAAAAUUUUAGAGGUUCGCUUUAGUGAGAUAUAUCAUUACCUUGCCUAGUGGUAAUGAUGAAAAUUUAUAGGCUUACUGGUAAAUCUUGUCGUUAGUUACUAGUGUUUAUCAGGAAAUUAUUUAGCUAACUAAGCUUGUAGAUGUUCUUUCUUAAGUAUUUUUGGACGGGAGUUCAAGUCUCCCCGAGUCCACCA
rnacentral:tmRNA from 1 species